GAUGAACGCUGGCGGCGUGCCUAAUACAUGCAAGUCGAGCGAACGGACGAGACGCUUGCUUCUCUGAUGUUAGCGGCGGACGUGUGAGUAACACGUGUAUACCCUACCUAUAAGACUGGGAUAACUUCGGGAAACCGGAGCUAAUCCCGGAUAAUAUUUUGAUCCGCAUGGUUCAAAAGUGAGAGACGGUCUUGCUGUCACUUAUAGAUGGAUACGCGCUGCAUGAGCUAGUUGGUAAGGUACCGGCUUACCAAGGCAACGAUGCAUAGCCGACCUGAGGGGGGGAUCCGGCACACUGGAGCUGAGAGACGGCACAGACACCGACGGGAGGCAGAAGCAGGGACUGUUCGGCAAUGGGCGAAAGCCUGCCGGAGCAACGCAGCGCGAGUGAAGCAGGGCUGCGGGUCGGAAAACGCUGUUAUUAGGGAAGAACAUAUGGUACGUAACUGUGCACAGCGUGACGGUACCUAGUAAGAAAGCCACGGCUAACUACGUG
rnacentral:rRNA from 1 species